UCUAAUUCAAAAUUCAAGUCUUUUCCACCCCCUUCUCAUUUGUUCCACGCUUUUAUUUUUGGGGUUUUAAAUAUGGUUUUUCAAGUCCAAAUUUGCCUAUAUAUAAGGGUAUUCUUCACCCCAUGAGGGACAGGCCUAAAAGUAGGAAAAAGAGAGGUGAAAGCAAUAAAAAAAGUCACAGAAGUGAGAAAAUAGAGUGAAAAAAUGGGAAAACAAGAAGAAAAUUAAAAAAAAGAGUUUGAAAGGUGUAAAAAUAGAAAAAAA
rnacentral:lncRNA from 1 species